rnacentral:misc_RNA from 1 species
GUUGAAGAACGCAGCGAAAUGCGAUAAGUAAUGUGAAUUGCAGAAUUCAGUGAAUCAUCGAAUCUUUGAACGCACCUUGCACCCUUUGGCAUUCCGAAGGGUAUGCUCGUUUGAGUGUCAUUGUACUCUCACUCUCCCGAUGCUUUUGGAUCGGGAGUGGUGGACUUGGGUGUUGCUGCUUUGCUGUGGCUCGCCUCAAAUGGAGUAGUGCAACUCUUGGUUAGACAUAGUACGGCGUGAUAAGUGUCUUCGCCGGCGCCUCAUUAUAGAGGGUGGCCGAUCGGGAGCUCUGUGCUUCAAACCGUCUUCGGACAACAUCUGACAACUUGACCUCAAAUCGAGUAGGACUACCCGCUGAACUUAAGCAUAUCAAUAAGCGGAGGA